rnacentral:rRNA from 1 species
UACGUAGGGUGCAAGCGUUGUCCGGAAUUAUUGGGCGUAAAGAGCUCGUAGGCGGCCUGUCGCGUCGGCUGUGAAAACCCGAGGCUCAACCUCGGGCCUGCAGUCGAUACGGGCAGGCUAGAGUUCGGUAGGGGAGACUGGAAUUCCUGGUGUAGCGGUGAAAUGCGCAGAUAUCAGGAGGAACACCGGUGGCGAAGGCGGGUCUCUGGGCCGAAACUGACGCUGAGGAGCGAAAGCGUGGGGAGCGAUCCGG